ensembl:lncRNA
CCAGAACAUGCAUACUUUUUUACUACACACUCAAAGGUUUAUACUUUGCGGAGACGUUUAGGUGGCAUUUGUGGAAGGAGUCUCCAGUGUCGGCACUUUGUAACAGUUAAAGAGAAAUGCAUCCAAAUGAAAAUGAGGAACUUGUCCAUGCAGCAAGACAAUGAUCCAGAACAUACUACCAACUCUACAAAGGACUUUAUCAGGGAGGAAAGUAGAAGGUUUUAGACUGUCCUAGUCAAUCACCAGACCUUAACCCAGCUGAAUAUGCCUUUCACCUCCUGAAGAGGAGACUGAAUGGUGAAACACCCCAAAACAAACAACAACUGAAAGAGGCUGCGGUAAAAGCUAGGAAAAGCAUCCAGAAGAAGAAACCAACAAUUGGGUCAUGUCAAUGAGUCACAGGUUUGAUAUAGUUAAUGCAAGCAAGGGUAUUCAAGGGUAUCCAAAUAUGAAGUGUUAUUUACUUUGUAUUACUUCAAGAGUUAUCUGUUCCUAUACUUUUGUACUCCUAAAAAUUGGGUGGUCUGAUACAAACGGUUGUUUAACACAUCUAAAUGUAAAUCCUAAGAAAUAAGAGCUGAAAUCCUAAAGUCUUG